AUGAGUUCGGAUAGGCCUUUCUACUGCAGUAUUUUUUAAAGAUAUAAUGUUAGCCAUGGAGAACUGCAAAUACAUUGCUACUGCUCUCAAUAACAUUGCUGCCCUGAAUUUAUCAGGCGCUAUUGACAAAGGUGAGAAAAAGUUGUGAUGGACUUCUUUCUGAACGAGGAAUGCUGGCUCUCUCACUCUGAAAUUAACAUGUUUUGAAAUCAGUGGAACACAACGGGCCAAACAAGCUGUGCAAACUAAAUUGGAAACAACACAGGAACUCUUAUAAAAUGGAUUGCAGUCUGCCAUGAAGCUUUCAUCCAUGUAUACAGCUUCAAUCAGUAGAACACACCUGACUCUAAGCCACCAGCCAUACAGUCAUCAAAAAUAGAGCUAGCAAGCAAAGGCAGCAGCGCAGUCAUCAACUACAUGCACCAUUUCUUCACCAACGACCAAAAACAGCUGUGGACCUGAAUUGUGAUAACUGCAGUGGUCAAAACAAGAACAAGUUUGUGCUCUGGUAUUGUGCCUGGUGGACCACCAGAAUCUGGACCUUCACUUCCUGAUCACAGGCAACGCCAAGUUUGCCCCCGACUGGUGCUUCGGCCUCAUCAAGCAGUGCUUCAAAAGAGUGAACACUGAGAUUGCUGGUGUUGUGAAGGACAGCACUGUGACAGGGGUCACUCUGACAGGGGUCAACAUCCCAGUAUCAGCACUUCAGUUUCGUUGCUCUGGAGCCUGGUGUUGUCGCCAAGGAGUGUUCGGACUGUUGGGACCAGGUUUCAGCUGCUGCGCAACGCUGACAUCCUUCCUCCCAUAGAUGGUCUGCAUGUAAAAGCACCACCUGGACUGGACACAGCUAGACAAACUAUAUUUUUGACAAGAUCAGGGAGUUUUGCGGUGAAGAGACUAUGGACAUCACGUGCCCUGUACCAAAGUCAAGGACAGGACAGAAGCAGGCUCCCUGCUUGGGAAUAUAGAUUCUCUUUGAUCACGUGUGGUUUGGACGGACCAGACAUGAGCUCUAUCAAUAGUACCUCUAUUCACAUGACUCUCUCCUAACACACACGCCAUAUGUUGCUGCUACUAUUGUUUACCCCGCUGCUCAGCCACUUUACCUCUGAUUGUAUGCAUUUAAUUACCUCGUCUGUCACCGAUAUUGAUAUUGUUUUUUUUACAUACUGUAUAUUUUAUCUAUAUUGACACUAUCUAUUUCUGAUAUUGCUACCAUGCAAGUAACCAUUUGGCUGUAUCAUUUACACCUUCUGUAGAGACCCAUCCACUUAGCGAGACUUAGCAAAAUAUUGAUGUAUAAAAUCAAUAUUGAUGUGUGGUCGUAACAUGAUUUUAUGGCAUACCACAAUAAUAUCUUGUGACUGUAUCCAGUGUCCACCACAUAAAUAUAUGGAGCAUGCAUCAGUUUAUGUACUGUAAAAAAAACUCACUCAGGUUGCAAGGCCUUAAUUUAGGUAUGGAAUACUAUGUGAUAAGUGCGUGUGUAACAGUAUAUAAAGUAUGCUACUGUA